rnacentral:tRNA from 5 species
GGCGUGGUACCCAAGUGGUUUAAGGGGACGCUCUGCAAAAGCGUUAUUCAUGAGUUCGAAUCUCAUCCACGCCU